rnacentral:rRNA from 1 species
GACAGAGGGUGCAAACGUUGUUCGGAAUUACUGGGCGUAAAGCGCGUGUAGGCGGCUAAGUAAGUCGGGCGUGAAAUCCCCACGGCUCAACCCGUGGAAGUGCACUCGAAACUGCCUCGCUAGAGUCCGGAAGAGGAGAGCGGAAUUCCUGGUGUAGCGGUGGAAUGCGCAGAUAUCAGGAAGAACACCCGUGGCGAAGGCGGCUCUCUGGGACGGUACUGACGCUGAGACGCGAAAGCGUGGGGAGCGAACAGG